ACAACUUUCAGCAACGGAUCUCUUGGCUCUCGCAUCA
rnacentral:rRNA from 1 species